rnacentral:rRNA from 1 species
AAACUCAAAUGAAUUGACGGGGCCCGCACAAGCGGUGGAGCAUGUGGUUUAAUUCGACGCAACGCGAAGAACCUUACCAGGGCUUGACAUCCCCUGACCGCGUAUGAAAGUACGUUUUCACCCUCGGGUGACAGGGAGACAGGUGGUGCAUGGUUGUCGUCAGCUCGUGUCGUGAGAUGUUGGGUUAAGUCCCGCAACGAGCGCAACCCCUACGUUUAGUUGCUAACGCGUGAAGGCGAGCACUCUAGACGAACUGCCGUUGACAAAACGGAGGAAGGUGGGGAUGACGUCAAAUCAUCAUGCCCCUUAUGUUCUGGGCUACACACGUGCUACAAUGGCCGGUACAGACGGACGCAAAGCCGCGAGGUGGAGCAAAUCCUAAAAAGCCGGUCUCAGUUCGGAUUGGAGUCUGAAACUCGACUCCAUGAAGGUGGAAUCGCUAGUAAUCGCGCAUCAGCAUGGCGCGGUGAAUACGUUCCCGGGCCUU